CACGUAGGGAGCAAGCGUUGUCCGGAUUUAUUGGGCGUAAAGAGCUCGUAGGUGGUUCGGUAAGUCAGGUGUGAAACCUCCAGGCUCAACCUGGAGACGCCACUUGAUACUGCUGUGACUGGAGUCCGGUAGGGGAGGCGUGGAAUUCCUGGUGUAGCGGUGAAAUGCGCAGAUAUCAGGAGGAACACCGAUUGCGAAGGCAGCUCGCUGGAACGUUACUGACGCUGAGGCGCGAAAGCUAGGGGAGCAAACGGG
rnacentral:rRNA from 1 species